rnacentral:tRNA from 1 species
GGCGUAUAAUAUUUUCACUUACAAUGAAAAAUACCCUUUGGGCGCUUUUAUAUUUUAAAAAAUAAUAUA